CACAGGGAUUAGCCAUAAAUGCUACUUUCCUCUCUGUGAAGCCCACGCCAGCAUCUGCUGAAACUUCUGAUAUUUUCUGCGCCAGUUUCUUAGUUUUGGUUUCCCGAGUGGCAUUCCAGACUGAACCAUGUCUGGACCCCCGUCAUUGUUUAGAUCAUUGUCAAGUCCAUCUGCAGUCCCUGACUGCAACGACUUUGACGUACUGUCACAAUUUCAAAAACACAAGAACUGGGAUGGACACCUGAAACGUUUAAGGUCUCAUAAGGUUGUGGAAAACCUUGCUGUGUCCUAGAACUCACAGUAGGUGUAUUAUUUUGAGCAGCCUACAGUUUACGUUUUUUGGACAUCAUCAGAUGCUGACCUGCACUAUUCCAUGCAGCGCAUUCCCAACCUCCACCUCCGCAUAGAAUGUUCCCGCCCGCAGCUGCUUCCCUCCACGUGAAUUGUGGGAUUGUGUGAGAACAUCUCGCGAGUCACAGCACAGCGCGUCUGGCAUUCAGGGACCGUGGUGGCAUUUCAGAAGAAGCACGAGCAGAAGAAUACCUUGAGUGUUGUUUAUCACUUUCUAUUCAUAUCCGAAACCUGUCCCACAUUUUCAGAAGAGAUUAUAAUAUUGUCCUUCACUUUGGUGUUUCAGGGUCAUGACUUGUUUCAUCUGGAAGUCAUGAUGUUUCAUCCAUUACAUCCUUAUAAUAUAAGUGUUACUCAUAUGACUAAGAUGAUUCUUUGAAUCAUUUGUUUGUGUUGACUAUCUAACAAAUAAAAGUGAACCGAAUAAAAUAAAAAUAACCAUGUUAUUAUCUGUUGCCUGUUGUUCAUUAUCUGUUUUCCCGAACACAUAUCUAUCAGUUUCUUCUAACUUCCUCAAAACAUUCUUUUGACAUUUCACUUGAAUUUCCCUCAUAUGGCGGAUAUUGAUUUUGACUCUGUAGAUCAAUGCAAUUUCUUGCCUUUAUUGGAUUACAUUUAUACUUUUAUGUUUUUAAUAAGAUUUCUAUUCUCUUUCAGUGAAAUAUCUGUGAAGUCUACAUGAAAAAUCAAUUGGGGAAUCAAUAAUUCGGCAGCAUGGAAGUGAACACGGUGGAAAUGAAUGUGAACACCUGCUACUUUCUAAAUACAAAGAUCACUGUGUCUAUAUCUGUUUGGGUACAAAGCAAUGUUUUAUUAAUUCUUACAAGCAUUGUAGAUACAAUAGAAAGUUAACUGCUAUUGUAUAUGUUUUAUUGAUAUCUUUAUCAAUUCAGGUAUGUACAAAUUCUCAUUACUUCAUUAGAAUUCUAAAAUGUGAUUUAAUAUCACAUGGAGCAACAUAAAUCAAAGCUAAGGGCCAUUUAAAGUUUAUUCUUGUUACUUAAUGUACAAAACGCGGACAGCCUCGGGUUAAAGCUGACCCAUAUGGGAUAGGCAGUCAGGUAAUUAAAAAAAAGUCUGUUACUAAUUUGUGACUAAUAAUAUCCAGAGAUUCUUUUUUAAUCCCAGCCUAGCACUGUCCCCAGAUAUUAUAAACCUCCAAUUAUAUCAGAAAUAGAUAAAGGAAUAUCACUCCACAUAUCACUCUCUAGAGAACCUUAAUAGAUUUGAUUAAGAUUUAUUCCCAUAAUUCCUUUUUUGUUUAAACAGAUGUCCACUCGUGCAACAAUAACAGACAAUGGAGUAAUCCUGGCUAAUUGUUUUAAAAUGACAAAAUCCAUUUCCAUAAUAUAUUGCAGUGUCUAAUUUGCUCUCAAAUGACCACCUGUUGUCCCAGAGAAGAAAACAAUAAAUGACUACUUGAGGACAAUGGAGAGGAAUCAGGGUGAAGCUACAAUGUAAAAGGAGUAGUUUUCUGGGGAUGCUUUUGCCCUUAGAACAUACAGUAUAAAAAAAUCUUGCAGUUGUUGGCAAUGUUUUAAUCACUCAAAAUAAUUCAAAUAUAAACCAUUGAAAUUAAUUGUUAUUUGCAGUUUAGUUAACCCGCUGGACUACAGUGAAACCAAGGUUGACAAAAUGCCAAUUUUUGGAAUUGAUCAGCAGGAUAUCUUCUUUGGCUCAUUUGAACUUCAGCACAUUUAAAGGCACAAUUCACUAAAAAAUGAAAAUUCUG